ensembl:miRNA microRNA 31
CUUGCUCAGACUUGGAGGGGAGGCAAGAUGUUGGCAUAGCUGUUGAUCUAAAAACCUGCUAUGCCAACGUAUUGCCAUCUUUCUCGUCUAUUUG